CAUGUCCUACGGGAGGCAGCAGUGGGGAAUAUUGCACAAUGGGGGAAACCCUGAUGCAGCGACGCCGCGUGAGUGAAGAAGUAUCUCGGUACGUAAAGCUCUAUCAGCAGGGAAGAAAAAAAGUCUUUGGCUUUGGACGGUACCUGACUAAGAAGCCCCGGCUAACUACGUGCCAGCAGCCGCGGUAAUACGUAGGGGGCAAGCGUUAUCCGGAUUUACUGGGUGUAAAGGGAGCGUAGACGGCAAUGCAAGUCUGGAGUGAAAGGCGGGGGCCCAACCCCCGGACUGAUCUGGAAACUGAAUAG
rnacentral:rRNA from 1 species